AAAGGCUGGAGAGAAGAACCAAUGUAAGAGAUUUGUAAAAGUGAGACUUCCACCGGGGGCUGUGGUGUCUUCCGAGUGAGCUGUGUGUGUGCGCGCAGUCAGAAUCGUUUUGCGGCUGGGAGGGAAGAGGGCGAGAGAGAAGGGCUGUUUCCACGCCCUGUGGACGCCGCCGGAAUGUUAAACGCGGUGCGUGUGCGAGUGGGGGGGGGGAUUCGAAUCCAGCUCUUGGCUCGGGGACAGCAGCGUCUCACUUCCUGGGCACUUGGAAGCCCAGCUGCGCGUUUGCGGGGAAGUGGGGACCAGCUGGAGACGGCGCCAGCCUCUGUCUGUCUGUGUAGGAUAUGGUGAAAUUUUCCUCUUAUAGGUUGAGCAAAGCAUCUUGAUUUGAGAGGGGGUUAAAAA